rnacentral:rRNA from 1 species
ACGGAGGAUGCGAGCGUUAUCCGGAUUUAUUGGGUUUAAAGGGUGCGUAGGCGGAUUAAUAAGUCAGUGGUGAAAACCUGGAGCUUAACUGGGGAACUGCAUUUGAUACUGCUAGGCUUGAGUAUGGUCAAGGAAGGCGGAAUGUGCAGUGUAGAGGUGAAAUGCGUAGAUAUUACGAAGAACACCGAUUGCGAAGGCAACCUACUGGGCCGUUACUGACGCUGAUGCACGAAAGCGUGGGGAUCAAACAG